rnacentral:lncRNA from 1 species
UUUUCCAUAAAGUAACUCUGUGAACAACUAUUUUCACAUGAUUAGAAUAGGAUAAAAUAUUACAAAUUUGAUUUGGCACAUGUUUACAGACAAUUUUUUUUAAAUUUAAAUGGUCUGAAUUUACCUGAAAAACUGAAAUUUUAUUUUGCUUGCAUUUGGAAUUCUCAAGAAGCUAUUUUUUCAAGAACAAGAAUUUACAAUGUUAUGGCAACCAUAAUUUUUACAUAAUGAGAAAGUGUGGAU